UACGGGGGGGGCAAGCGUUGUUCGGAAUUACUGGGCGUAAAGGGCUUGUAGGUGGCCAACUAAGUCAGACGUGAAAUCCCUCAGCUUAACUGGGGAACUGCGUCUGAUACUGGAUGGCUUGAGUUUGGGAGAGGGAUGCGGAAUUCCAGGUGUAGCGGUGAAAUGCGUAGAUAUCUAGAGGAACGCCCAAGGCGAAGGCAGGCAGCUGGGCCAAUUCUGACGCUGAGGCACGAAAGCGUGGGGAGCAAACGGG
rnacentral:rRNA from 1 species